AUAAUCCUUUGUGAACGGAAAGUUGUGGAUUGGAGUUGUGGAAAUAACCUAAUCACAACGCAAUGUGAAGGUUGCAUACACAACCUACUCUCUCCCAACCCUCACAAAGCAGGAAACCACUUGUUGCGAGGAUGCCUUUUUAUUCGUAUGUUAAUUUAUUUUUUAAUUUUUUAUUGUUAUUACUAUGUUGGCUUAAUGGGCAAGCCUUUGUAGUAACAAUAUGGUUGGUCCUUUGUGAACUGAAAAUCAUGGGGUUCGACUUGUGGAAAUAACCUAAUUGCAAAGCAAUGUGAAGGUUGAGUGCACAACCUACUCGCCCCUAACCCCCCUCACAAAGCGGUAAAUCACUUGUUGCUAAGAUGCCUUUUUAUUAGUAUGUUGAUUUAUUUUUUUGCUUAAUUGUAUUUGUUCGUGUUGAAAUGUAUUUUUUAAUUUUUUAUUGUUAUUACCAUGUGGGUUUAGUGGGCAAGAAUUCGUAACGACAAUAUGGUUAAUCCUUUGAGAAGGGAAGGUUGCAGGUUUGAGUUGUGAAAAUAGUCUAAUUGCUAAGCAAUGUGAUGGUUGCCUACACAACCUACUCUCUCCCAACCCUCACAAAGUAGGACACCACUUGAUGCGAGGAUGCCUUUUUAUUAGUAUGUUGAUUUAUUUGUUCUUUAAUUGUACUUAUAGGUGUUGAAAUAUAUUUUUAAUUUUUUAUUAUUAUUUCUAUGUUGGUUUAAUGGGCAAGCCUUUGUAGUAGCAAUAUGGUUUCUCCUUUGUGAACGGAAGAUCACGGGUUCGAGUCUUGGAAAUAACCUAAUUGCAGGGCAAUGUGAAGUUUUCGUACACAACCUACUCUCCCCUAACCCCCCUCACAAAGCAAGAAAUCAUUUGCUACUAAGAUACCUUUUUAUUAGUAUGUUGAUUUAUCUUUUUUCCUUAAUUGUACUUAUUCGUGUUGAAAUUUAUUUUUUAAUCUUUUAAUGUUAUUACUAUGCUGGUUUAGUGGGCAAAAAUUUGUUACAAUGAUAUGGUUGAUCCUUCGUGAACGGAAGGUUGCGGGUUCGAGUUGUGGAAAUAACCUAAUUGCAAAGCAAUAUGAUGGUUGCGGACACAACCUACUCUCUCCCAACCCUCACAAACCAAGACACUUGUUGUGAGAUCACGAGUACGAAUUGCGGAAAUUACCUAGUUGCAAAGCAAUGUGAAGGUUGAGUACACAACCUGCAACCCUCACAAAGUGGUUGUGGGUUUGAGUUGUGGAAAUAACCUAAUUGCAAAGCAAUGUGAAGGUUGCAUUCACAGCCUUCUCUCUUCCAACCAUCACAAAGCAGGAGGACACCACUUACUGUUUGGAUGUCUUUUGAGUAGUAUGUUGAUUUAACUUUUCUUUUAAUUAUACUUAUUGGUGUUGGAAUGUAUUUUUAAUUUUUUUUUUUUUGUUAUUACUAUGAUGGUUUGGUGGACUAGCCUUCGUAGUAAAGAUAUGGUUGCUCCUUCGUGAAAUGAAGAUCACGGGUUCGAGUUUUGGAAAUAACCUAAUUUACAAAGCUAUGUGAAGGUUGCAUGCACAACCUACUCUCCCCUAACCCCCUCACAAAGCAGGACACCAUUUGUUGUGAGGUUCCCUUUUUAUUACUAUGUUGAUAUAUUUUUUCCUUUAAUAUAACUUAUGGUGUUGAAAUGUAUGUUUUAAUUUUUUAUUGUUAUUACUAUGUUGGUUUAGUGGGCAAGCCUUCCUAGUAAUGAUAUGGUUCCUACUUU